UACGAGUUGUGCAAACGUUAUUCGGAAUCACUGGGCUUAAAGGGUGCGUAGGCGGCUACGAAAGUCAGGUGUGAAAUCCCUCGGCUCAACCGAGGAACUGCGCUUGAAACUGUGUAGCUUGAGGAAGACAGAGGUGAGCGGAACUGAUGGUGGAGCGGUGAAAUGCGUUGAUAUCAUCAGGAACACCGGUGGCGAAAGCGGCUCACUGGGUCUUAUCUGACGCUGAGGCACGAAAGCCAGGGGAGCAAACGGG
rnacentral:rRNA from 1 species